rnacentral:rRNA from 1 species
UACGGGGGGGGCAAGCGUUGUUCGGAAUUACUGGGCGUAAAGGGCUCGUAGGUGGCCAACUAAGUCAGACGUGAAAUCCCCUGGCUCAACCAGGGAACUGCGUCUGAUACUGGAUGGCUUGAAUCCGGGAGAGGGAUGUGGAAUUCCAGGUGUAGCGGUGAAAUGCGUAGAUAUCUGGAGGAACACCGGUGGCGAAGGCGGCAUCCUGGACCGGUAUUGACGCUGAGGCGCGAAAGCCAGGGGAGCAAACGGG